AUUGAACGCUGGCGGCAGGCUUAACACAUGCAAGUCGAGCGGAGUGAUGGUGCUUGCACUAUCACUUAGCGGCGGACGGGUGAGUAAUGCUUAGGAAUCUGCCUAUUAGUGGGGGACAACAUCUCGAAAGGGAUGCUAAUACCGCAUACGUCCUACGGGAGAAAGCAGGGGAUCACUUGUGACCUUGCGCUAAUAGAUGAGCCUAAGUCGGAUUAGCUAGUUGGGGGGGUAAAGGCCUACCAAGGCGACGAUCUGUAGCGGGUCUGAGAGGAUGAUCCGCCACACUGGGACUGAGACACGGCCCAGAGUCCUACGGGGGGCAGCAGUGGGGAAUAUUGGACAAUGGGGGGAACCCUGAUCCAGCCAUGCCGCGUGUGUGAAGAAGGCCUUAUGGUUGUAAAGCACUUUAAGCGAGGAGGAGGCUCUUUUGGUUAAUACCCAAGAUGAGUGGACGUUACUCGCAGAAUAAGCACCGGCUAACUCUGUGCCAGCAGCCGCAGUAA
rnacentral:rRNA from 1 species